UAUGCUAAGUGUCAUUGCAGUGACUUGUGAGAGCGGCAUACUCAUUUGACUAAGAUUAGCUGUUACAACAAGGUCAUUUAUGCUUUAAUGCAAUUAGUUAUGCCAGUAUUGAUAGAGGAAAAAAAAAAUAGUCUCAUGUUGAGACAGGGAUGUUUCAUUGCCAGGGUUGUAUCUCCUUGAAUUCAAGCUUCCUCUAAAACCUGUUUGCAGAGAUGGGGCACCACCACCAUCACCUCUCUGGGCACCCUGUGCCAGUGCCUCACCACCCUUAGCAUAAACAGCAUCUUCCUUACAUCCAGCCUGAACCUCCCCUCCCCAGCACCUCACGUUAGCAGGCAGAAAACCCACCAAACAUACAUAAACCUUCUCAAACAAUGCAAAGUAGGAGAAAGAAAAAAUGAGACUCUUAAGAGCAUUCAAACAGCUUGUGAAAUUUGCAGGAAAGGUAUUGUAGGAGCCCACAUCGCACUCAAAUAGUCUAACAAUAAGUUUCCCAAUAAACAGCUGUUUCAAGAAACCCAGCUCCAAACCCACCCUCUUUUCUCCACAAUGCAUGUCAAAUCUGCAUCAAAACGCUCACCACCUGUUUCCAGUUUGCAGGCAACCAAUCAUUGUUCAUCAAAGUAACAAAGCUGUUUUAAAUUUGAAAGCAACAAAUCCAAGUUUAAUUAUUUUGUCCUUCAGAGCUUUCCGCUAUCUUUUACGAAAGCUGUUUCAGAGAUGAAGAACUAUCAUUGGCUGCCUUAAAAGGGGAAUAAUUGAUUGACAGCCGGAAAAACACUUCUAAGGACAAUAGUAUUUGUCAGUCUGGUAUUUUUCACACUAAAGACAAAUUGCAUUUUAUCAACACCCUGAAAUUAUUUUGUCAACAAAAUUCAUUUUGUGGCAUUCCCUUCAUCUGUCACACUGACAGAACGCUCUCCAGAGUGUUCUAAAAAAACAUUUUGCUAACAUGAUUAAUUUAUCCAACAUUUAAUUUUGCUUUUUAAUCAUACGUACAGAAAGAUGUUGCAGGACGUGCACAGGAAGGUGUGAAGAGCAACGCCAUUAGCUCACGCAGCCAGGAGGAGGCCAGGCAUACAAACCUUCACCAGCAGAAUGCUACUGGUUGAAGAGUUGCAAUGUUUGAUCGGUUCUGUGUAGACAAAAGCCCUGCUUGAGCAAAUCGUGUUUUCACAAAUCAUUUGACCUUACUGAAAAUGUUUCAAAGAGCUUUAUGUCAAGUAUCCCACAGCAAUUAGAGAACUGUGUGUGUGCGUGCACAAAAUGAAGAGCCAUCACCUUAACACAAGCAGAACGUUCGGGAUGGUUCUGUCAGCUCAUGGCAUGGAUGGUAUGGGAAGAUGGACAAGUGCCCCACACAACAAUACAUUGACUUCCAACAUGUCAAUGCCAAUAGCAAACAGGUGCUCUGCUUCUAUGCCAUGUAUGAUAUUUUUAGGAAUUUUCCUAACAGAUUUAUGCCAAAUGCACAGCAGUGACUCAAACACCAAGAUUCCUGAGAGUUCCCCUCAGAAUCUCUUGACUUGAAUGUAAAUCUCUAGCAGGAAUGUAAGUACUCUUCCACUUGAAUGUAAAUCUCUAGCAGGAAUGUAAUUGGACAGUUUUCCUUGUGCCCAUUUUGUUUUUUGAUGAAACGAUGCACUGGGAGGUCAAGUAACUUUUCUAAGGUCAUGCAUUAAAUCAGCACCAGGUGAAGGAGCAACAACUACGCUUCCUGCUUCCCAGUGUAUCCACCGGGCAAUAAUACCAGUGAAUGGUACAAUGCAUUGUCAGAAUUACACGUGCGUGUGCCUCGAUUAAUAAUAAAUAAGCUCAGAUGCUCUCAAACAAGAUUAUAUCUGCACUUGUAGGGAUGGAAAGUAUCACCCCUUUUCACAGAGCUCACAGGUUGCAUUUUGGAACAUUGAGAACAUUAAAGGAAAAAGCAUUGCUGACGCUUUAGAAGUGAAUUCACAGGCAACUGAAAUACUUUUCCCAAGAGCUGCAGAUUGCAGGACACUUUCUGAGGUUGACUGACAAGAAGAGGAAAGGCUCAAACAAAAGCAUGGGUCUCUCCAUCCUUCUGGUCCCCUGUUGAGGAGCACAAACACACAGAUGCUCACACGGAUUCAAAAUAAGUGUUGGUUGGACAGACAAAGUCAUGCUGUAUGCUCAGAAAUGCUGAUAAUUGUUGUCCCAGGAAACAAAACAUUCCAUCACAGCUCCUGAAGCUUGUUUCUACACCUCUUACCAGUUUCUAUCAUAUUACUUCUGCAGCGCACUUUCUGAUUUCCUGGGAGAUGGUUUGUGCUGAAGCAAGGAAAAGCUCCAGUAUGGAAAAGGCAGACCAUUGCACAGGUUUCACCAUGAACACAAAUUCUUCCCAGAUGCAGCAGUGUCUGUGCAGUGCCUUCUUUAUGACUUGCCUUCACAGCUAACAGCCCUGCUGCAAUACCUGAAAUCUGACCUAGCAGAGGAUGCAGCUGGUUGGUUGUCCCUUACCUCAGUGCUGCCUGCUGAGUGCCCUCAGAGCCCAGAUCCUCAAUGGCCAUUCACUGUCAUGGAAUUAAAAUCUGAUACAUCCCUUCCCUGACUUGUCUCUGCUGGGGUUUUGUAACUGACUCUCAUCCCUCUCCCACUGUGCAGUCUUCUUCUCACCUCCAGAAGGUGCUGCAGUUAUUAUAGUCGCAGUCACAUUACUUUAAUAGACUUAAUCCUUCUGGGCCUCUUUUUGACACUGAAUUAUUAAUUCAUUAAUCUGUUUUUCAUAUUUCUAAACAGAAACAGACAUUACUGGUGUGAAUGAUCAAUACUGUGUUCUCUCAUUCCUUUCCUUUUCCAUCAUUUUAGAAUCUACUCUGCUUUCAAUCUUGGGUCUUUUUAAUAGGAUUUGCUUUUGUGAAGAAUUUGACACCUCAUUAAGGCAACUCUAUGCUAACAGAUUUAAUAAUUCCUAUCUGCAUUGGUCACUUAUAACUGACGUUACACAUUCAAGUCACUCUUGGAUCUGCCUGAAAGAUAUUCCUGGAGGAAGAAGACUUGCCUUUGGGAUCUGUGCUCCUAUUGCCACUGACAACAGAUCCAGACUGAAUCAGGGCUAAGACUAUGUGACUCACCUUCUGCUGCCAGGGGCUUUGUCCCCUUUCCUUUAGGAGACAGGUGAUGAACCUUACACAUUGACACUAGCUGCAGCCAGCACAGCAGCCCAGCUCAGCCAGCACAGCCCAAAGCAGAAGUGGUCAUAAUGUACAGAGCAGCAUCUUAGCCUAAAUCUCUACAAAAGGCUCAUUGCAGAGCUAUCAAGCCUGAGACACCCUUGGCCAGACACAACCCAGAUCUCUUCCAGUUCAGCAAUCAUGUAUCUGCAGGUUACCCUCAGGGACCCAUGUACGUUGGAAGAAGGACCUGUUUUCAGCGGUACCAACCAGAUGACUCCAGCACGUGGAUUCUGGAAGCAAGAGUUGCAUUGCAGAGGCAAGCAGAAACACAGCGCUGGUGGAGACCCCAGUCAUCUUACUAGAUGACAUCCUCACCACCAAAUAGCCAAAAUACUGUCAGCCCUCCACCACAUGACACAGUCUGGCCUAUUCGGUCCUAUUUCCUGUCCACUACAGUCUCUCUGCUGUAAUCCAACGUCAAAUUCUCCUCAGCACUGACUCUUCCCAGGCUGCAUCUCCCAUCACUGGACUGGCACAAUAGGAGUGAUCAAGUGAGCUGACAGGUGUGCAAAAUGGCACGGCUUCAUACAGAGAGGAUCUAGCUGAAGCACCUGUGAGCAGAGUUGCCAUCUGGUUGUAAUGUUCCAGAAUGAAAUAGACAAACCAAAGAUAAUUAUUUACAGUCAAUGUUUCUAUUGUACACAAUGAUUGGAAUACUUUACAGACUUAGAAUGUGAUGGCACAAAGGAAAUCUUAAUGAGGAAUUACGAAGCAAUUGAGAUUGGGGGAAAAUGUUAACUGAAGACUACAAAAAUAAUAGGAAAUGCCAAAUGCCCACACGUGCUUGCAUAUAUGGGUAUACUCCAGGAUGCAGAGAGUAUAAGGGAAGGCUGUAGUUGUCCCGCAAGAAGUAGUGCCAGAAAGAGCCCUGAAGUGCCUGGCAAAGCUAAGGAUGUUGCUGUCUGCCACCAGAAUGGAUAUAGGACAGCGGUGUCUACCUAGAGUAACCUUCAUAAGGGAAGCAUCUUUCCCUGCCAGGCAGCCUAACUCUUGCACUGUUCCCUACCACAAUAAACAUCAGUAUGACUUCUUGCAAUUGUACAAAGCUCCGUUUUACCUCUGAACUCUGUGACUUUUCUUGAAACCAACUGUGCUUUCUGUUAGCAUAAUACACCUUGGAUCAGGCCUUCUACUAAUCAUUAUUACAGAAGAUGUCAUUCUCUCUUCCUGAAAUGAAUGAACACAUCAGUAGUUGGCCCUCAAACCCUCCUUAGCUGAAAUACAAAUGCUCUAUACUAGAUUUCAAACCAGGUUGAACAAAGCCUGCCAUUUCCCUUCGCUGUUGCUAUAGUAAAAGCUUAAUGGUCAAGGCUGCUCCCUACGUGCAGGAAUUUGCUCUCUGUAAAGGGUUAUAAGCCAGCCCAGCUUCAGCCCAGCCAACAAGAAAGCAGCAGAGACAGACAGCUCUCUCCUGUAUCCCACACUCUGUUCUUAGGGGAAUGCAAGGUAACCUCAGAGGUCUUUCACAGCUCUUACUCUGGUGGCUCCAGAAAGGGAAUGUUGCAAAGAAACUACUCCAUCCAUAAGCAAAAUGGUGAAACAUCAUUAUGAUAUUUUUUUUACCCACACCCUGCCUGUGUUCUCAGGAGGUAUAAGACACGACAAACUGCUCCAUCACCUUUUCAGUGUAACAAGCCCUCUCCUGUACCAUGCAGUGAACCAGGGUGCUGCACCUCAGAGUGGCUUGUGCAUGUGAGGCAGAGGAAGGGAAGGAAGCAGCAGCCACCUCCCUGGCACACCUCCCUGUGACACCAGCAGAGCAACCUAACCCAGGCUGUCUGCUCCUUUCCUCCUCCUGGCCUCUGAUCUAUGGUGUACCGUGCAGCAGAACCUGUCACCCACAAGGCAAGCAAAAGGGCAGAGUUGCAUCACCCAGGAAAAGUGCUUUCAACUGAUACACACACCUCUGGCACCGGCUCCCUUGUCAUCCAACCCCAGCAAGUAUUUAUUAAUGAAGCUUGCCUGAUUGUUGAUUCAUUUGAUUGUUAAAGCUUGUGGAACUCGUACUGUUAUUACUCAUUGUUAUUAAUGUUCACAGCUCAGCCUCUCUCUUUCCAAUACGCUCCACAGAGGAAAUCGAAGGCUGAAACCAAUUGUUACAGUAAAUGAAUGAUGGAGCCGCUUGAGGAUAGGAGCAUGCCUGCUGCUCUGGGACCGCUGCAUGUUAGUGGGAGUCAGUUAAUCUUCACACACAAGGACUGCAAACUGAGAGGCUAUUUCAGGUCAGUUCUCUGUUCUGUACGCUGCUUCCUGAGUCAACUGGUGUAUGACAGUCACCCUAACAAAGCAGUCUCUGCACAGGACCAGUGACCCAGGGCAGGCUUUGAUCUAUGUGCAGAAACAAGGUUUCCUUUGCACUCCUCCACAAGUACAGAAGACAACACCAGAACAAUGCAGUAGAGAGCAGAAGGGAGCUCAGCAGUGCAAUAUAUGCGUGUGCACGCUGCUUGCUUCAGUACUUCCCCUCUCCUCCCCUCCUGCAAGCCUUCUCCACCUCUCCACAGCCUCUUGGUCUGUGAUCAGUUCCAAUUGUUACACCACGUGUAAACUCCCCAAGACAGAACAGCAGCACUCCUACCUGUCUGGUAGUCAGGAUGCUUCCAAAUCUGCAACAGGGCCCUUAUGGCAGCGUUUCAGAACAAUGUACUCAUUCGCGUUAUACCUCCAGCAUCUACAGAGCCGUCACAUACCAUAUUCAGUCUAUUAUUCAUCUCAAGUAGAGAAUUCUGCAAAGCAGGAGGAAAUAAAAGAGGGCUUAAUACAGCUUUACUAAAAUGGAAUUUGCCAAGGACUCAUAGAAAAAUGGAUUUAAUUAGGGCUGCUAAUGGGGAACAGUUUGUUCCUGUGAUUUAAGGCAGAAGUUAGAUAGUGUCUAUAAUUUCAACAUUUUAAAUUAUAUAUACCAGGUCAUUUCUCAUUUCUACCUUAAUUAUAAAAAUCCAUCUUUAUGUAUCACAAUUUCAAGGCAAAUAAAGCAAAGGCAGCAAAAAUGAUAUUUUAUUUAAUAAAACUUGUAAGAACUC
rnacentral:lncRNA from 1 species